UUCUUCCUGACGUAGCUAUUCAGACCUGUUUUCUUGCCUCUUGUUUUUGCUUUUGUGAUGCCAUUAUGAUAUCUCUGUCAUGUGGAGGGAAAAAAUCAUUCAGCUUCUUCAUUAUGUUUAGUAGUGCGCUGUGGAUUUAUAUAAUGUUUCUUCCAAGAGGUUUUGGAGUUCUCAGGAUCAGGUUCCUGAUGUUUCCAAACUAAGUGCUAAACUAAGCUUAUCUUUUAACAGUUCUCAUAAAAGACUUGCAGUAGCUAACUUCUGUUUACUUGCCCCUAAAUUAAUGAAGUACCUCUGAAUGAGAUUCCAAACAGGAUGCCACACUGGAUCUGGAAGAUGUUAGCGUUAAAUGGUGAGAUACUUAUGCUCCACUGGUGAGAUAGCUGAGGAUCCCUGGGCUUAAUGAAAUUUAGAUGCAUUUAGUCUUGCCUAAGAUCGAUACCUUCUGCAGGGUGUGGACAUACGACCUUAUCUGGUCAGGAGACAUGGUCUCUUUAUUACAGGAAAAACUGCUACCAUUCUGAUAUUUUCCUGCCUUGUGGUUAAAUAUGUCACUGAAUACAGUGUUUUUUUUUGUUUAUUAAACAGGAUAUUCGGAAAGGGAGUACAUUACUGAGCAAAGCAGCACAAGAUGACUUACAAAUCCCUAUUCUUUUCAUGGGAGCCUGCCUGGGUUGUCACUUUUGAAUGGAGAUGGAGUGGAGUGGAACUGCACAUAUUAUUGAAGAUGCAAGCUGCCACGGUUGUAUAUUGUAGCAGUGCCUGCAGAAUGCUGCAGCUACUUUCACUCUUCAGCGUUCCUGGCUUGUGGAGUCAAAAGCCUCUGUGGAACUUGAGAUGGAAAUACUGACGUGAGUUUAGGAGCUUUGAUGCUUUCAGACACUGAAUUUUGAUUUGGCAAAUGACCGCAAAUAAGGUACUGCCUGAACAAGCUGAAAUGACUUGAAGACCUUUGAUUCUG
rnacentral:lncRNA from 1 species